ensembl:lncRNA
CUGUCAGACCUCGGACGUGGAAACUGGCAUCUCCCCUGGCUCGGAGUCCGCCCUCUCGGGGCGCCAGCGCAGUUGAUCGAUGUGCCUGAGGUGGCCUCUCUGAUUCCACGGCUGUCCCCGUGAGCAGGCGGCUCCAUGCUUCAAAGGCCCUGGAUUCCUGGGACAUGAUGCCACCUUUCCUGAAGUCUGGGCUCCUUACCUUCUCUCUGCUCCGGGCAUACCAUUCCCAAAGGACAGUGGUACUGCAGGGAGCGUCUGCUGGGCCCCCUCCAUGUGUUCUGGACAGGCUGGGGUCCUGGGAAGGGUGCACCACCCAAGUGCGGGGGUGGCAUUCAAGCUCGACACAGAACCUGUGAGAAUGGGCCUGACUGUGCUGGCUGCAGUGUGGUGAGUAGUCCUCCUCGUCUCCAGCCCAUACUCCGGAGCUCAAAGCCCAGAGUCAGCACAUACUAGGUGCUCUGCACACAGUAGGUCCUCUGCACACAGUAGGUCCUCUGCACACACUUGUCCACUGCAAACAUUAGGUGUUCUACAAACACUAAAUGCUCUACACACACCGAUUUCUGCAAACUCUGGAUGUUUUGCAUACACUAGAUGCUGUGAAUUAUACAAGUUGCUCUGGUUAAUGAGAAUGUCCAGAGGAAAUACUGAAAGGUCAGGGUAGCCUAUAGGCUUACCUAAGCUAAGUAGAGCUAUCCUAGAAAUUUCUCAGUUCUGAUUGCUGAGCCAUGACCAAAAAAAAAAAAAAAACCGUUAGACUGCUUAAUAUUGGUCACUGCGUUUGGUCUGGGAAAAUGGAGGGGCAUUCCAUUCUAAGCUCACAUUAAGGUACAGAACAAAGGCUGAACCUGACACACUGAGGUUAAUAAAACUCUCAAGUCAUUACAAGCUGGUACCAAUUCAGAGGAAAUACAUCACAAUUUAUGGCUUCGUUUUUCUCUGCCUUCACAGAUUAUAUUUCCUUUCACACCUAAAUGCUCAAAUAAAGUUCCAUUUGGGCAAGCACUUUCCCAAAGGCCCAUUGUUGCUCUUCCUGCACCAUCAUCUCUCAGAAUGACUGAGCACAGAGAGCUACUGGGCUUUCAUCUCACUGACCUGUCCGUGGAGCUGGCCCUGCAGAAUGAAUGCAGAGAUGCUGGGGUUGUUUUGGUGAAGCGGUUCAGCCUGAGAAGGGCAGGUCUGGCUUCCUCCCUGACCUUUCCACUUUGUCUUCACAGCCCACUUUGGCCCCUUGGUCCAUGAGGUUGUUAUGAUGUUUUUUUGCUGCUGGAAAGCUUUUUUUUUUUUUUUUUUGAAAUGCAAAAAAUAAAACAGCCAUGACAGCCUUGGGAAAUUCAGAGAGAGGAAGAGGUUAGAGGCACUUCAUCAAUAUUAUACCUGACCAAGGAGGUUUCUGUUACUGGGAUCUGCAGUUAGGUUUCUUUCCUUUCAAACUGGCAAAUAUAUUGUAGUAGUUUUUGUAGAAUCUAUUACUGAUUUUAAGGGCACUUUUUUCCAGGUUAGGUUGUGCUAACUUUGACUCAAGAAAAAUCUUAGUCUUAGGAUGAAGUAUUUAUUGAGUUUUCUGAUGCUCAAAUUGAAAGCUGUUGUUUAUAAAUGUGUAGGUAAUUUAUGAUAAUUACGAUGAACACCCACAGGUUCUAGGAAAAGAAACCUAAUGUGGCCGCUCUGCUCUUUGCUGAGGCAUGUCACUUCCUGAACAAGGGCCUGGGGACUCAGGUCUGUGGUCCCACACGGUAAUUUGUUCCAUCUGCUGGGGAAAAAACAAAACAAAACAGGAAUGGCACCCAGUGAAGUUGACCUUCAUCUUCUUAAUUUUCUUGCCCUUUGGUUUCUAAGAGCUUUAUGCUAUCUUCUUUUUCUUUUUUUCUUUUUAUUUAUUUCCUUGUGGUUUGAUGAUGUUGUUUAGUGUUAUGGUUGUGUUUCUCUCUAGUUUUUGUGUGUCUAAUGUAGGGUUUUUAAUGUCAUUACCAUGGAGUUCAUAUGUAUUGACCUGUAUCUACAGAAAAUAUCUCAAGACAAAUAAAAAUAAAAACACAACUUUCCAAAAUAUAUGGGAUGCAGAAAAAGCAGUUCUAAGAAGAAAGUUUAUAGUGAUAGAGGCCUACCUCAAAAAAAUAAGAAAAAUCUCAAGUAAACAACCUAACCUAGUGUCUAAAGGAAUUAGAAAAAGAAGAAUCAAACCCAAAGCCAACAGAGAGAAGAAAGUAAUAAAGAUCAGGGGGGAUAUAAAUANAAAAAAAAAAAAGGGAAAAAAAAAAAAAAAAAAAAGAAAAGAUCAAUCAAGUUGAGUUUGUUUGUUUGUUUGUUUUAAACAAAACAAGACAAAAUUGAUUAGCCUUUAGCCAGGGCAAUUAAGAAAAAAAAUUAGAGGGCAGAAAAAAAGCAAAACAAGAAGUUAAAGAAGAGAGAUCACAACUGUUAGUGCAGAGAAACAAAAAUGUUAUAAGAAAAUACUAAGGGGGCCUCUCCACCUCCCUGGCCCUGUCUACCCUUGCCCACUUCAGGUGGGGCUGCAGGGCCCAUCCUGCUCUCUCUGGCCCCACUGGGUCACAUCUCCUCAGGUCCUUGUAAGCAGCAGUGGCAGGUGCACUGCAAGUUUUGAUGUCUUAGCUUGGAGGCCCAUGCCAGCACUCCCCAGCCAGUGGCUGUGGAGGUGGCCAACUCUGAAGGGCCUCUCAGCCUCAUUCUGGCACUCCCGUUGCUCAGGGAUGGGCAGCCACAAGGCCCCAGCUUAGAAAGAAAGAGAGAAGGAAGGAGGAAAGAAGGAAGGAAGGAAAGAGAGAGAAGGAGAGAAAGAAAGGACACUCUAUGAACAGUUAUAUGUCAACACACUGAACAACCUGAAAGAAUGGAUGAAUUUCUGGAAACAUACAAUCUUCCAAGACUGAAUCAAGAUGAAGUAGACAAUCUGAACAGACUGAUCAUUAGUAAUGAAAUUGGAUGAAUCAUCAAAAACCUUUCAGCAGACAAAAGUCCAGGACCAUACUGCUUCUCCUGGGAUUCUACCAGUCAUUUAAAGAGGGGCUAUCUAUACCUAGCCUUCUCAGACUAUUCCAAAAAUUGAAGAGGAAGGAACAAUCCCUAAAUCAUUCUACAAGGCCACCAUUACCCUGAUACAAAAACCAGAUACUACAAAGAAUAUAUAUAUAAAGAUCAAAAUCUCUAAUGAAUAUAGGUGCAGAAAUUAUUAGCAAAAUAUUAGCCAACCAAAUUUGCCAGUAUAUAAAAGAGGUCUUAAAUCAUGAUCAAAUAGGAUUUACUCCAGGGAAGAAAGGAUGGUUCUUUAUCUGCACAUCAAUUAGUGUGAUAUACCACAUUAACAAAAGAGAAGUUAAGAAUCACAUAUAGGAGUUCCCGUUGUGGUGCAGUGGUUAACGAAUCCGACUAGGAACCAUGAGGUUGCGGGUUCCAUCCCUGGCCUUGCUCAGUGGGUUAACGAUCCGGCGUUGCCGUGAGCUGUGGUUUAGGUUGCAGACGCGGCUCGGAUCCCGCGUUGCUGUGGCUCUGGCGUAGGCCGGUGGCUACAGCUCCGAUUGGACCCCUAGCCUGGGAACCUCCAUAUGCCGCGGGAGCGGCCCAAGAAAUAGCAACAACAACAACAACAACAACAACAAAAGACAAAAAAAAAAAAAAAA